GACGAACGCUGGCGGCGUGCUUAACACAUGCAAGUCGAACGGAAGGGCCCUGCUUUUGUGGGGUGCUCGAGUGGCGAACGGGUGAGUAACACGUGAGUAACCUGCCCUUGACUUUGGGAUAACUUCAGGAAACUGGGGCUAAUACCGGAUAGGAGCUCCUGCUGCAUGGUGGGGGUUGGAAAGUUUCGGCGGUUGGGGAUGGACUCGCGGCUUAUCAGCUUGUUGGUGGGGUAGUGGCUUACCAAGGCUUUGACGGGUAGCCGGCCUGAGAGGGUGACCGGGCAAAAUGGGAAUGGAGUAAGGGCCAAACUCCAUACGGAAGGAAGAAGGGGGGAUGUUGGAACAAGGGGGGGAGCCUGAUGCAGCAACGCCGCGUGCGGGAUGACGGCCUUCGGGUUGUAAACCGCUUUCGCCUGUGACGAAGCGUGAGUGACGGUAAUGGGUAAAGAAGCACCGGCUAACUACGUG
rnacentral:rRNA from 1 species